CCCUGUGUUGGAAAGGGAUUGUGGGCUUCCCAAACCCUAGGCACGGAUACUGCAGGGAGAGGAUGCUAAAAGCCAUCCUCAUGUUUGGAAGGUCCACUCCUAUCCUUACCAGAUCCUGGUGCUUUUGAACA
rnacentral:snoRNA from 7 species